ACUUGAAUAGUUUAAGGAAAACAGUAACGUGUGGAGUUAAAGAUAUAAUUAUUGAUUUCAGGUA
rnacentral:tRNA from 1 species